UGUCUGUACAUUACUGAAGUGUGAAUAUAUGGUGUUUAACAUGUGUUUUGUAGUUUUAUACUUUCAUAAGAUAUAUAUUGUAGUGAUUUCAUUUUUUGUUAAAGUAGUGGCUCAUACUGUAUGUAGUAGUAGCCACUUAACGUAUGUAUUCAAUGUCUUGUAUAUAGGAAGUAUCUCAUGUGUAUAUAACAUACCUCAUAAUAUCGCAGUUUGAUUAAACAAAACAUUAUAUUCAAUUUAUACAUAGAUCAAAGAAUCCCCUGACUUUGAAUUCAUUAUUGAAAUUAUAUUCAAAUAUUGCAAUGAAAGUUUCCAUAUCAAGACAACGCAUGGUUUAAGAUAUAGUUUCCUGUUUCACCUUACAUGUUUUUUUGCGAAAGAAUCUUUUGUUUUAUUCAAGUAUUGAAAUUGGAUGUUUUCUGCUGUUGAUUGAUUUAAUAUCAGUCGAACUAGUAACAUAAGUAAAUCUGUUGGCUCUGUAAGUUGUUUAGUUCCACAUCUUACUCAGCCUUCUGUAACAGUUAAAACGCUACACCAAUAUACAGUUGUACAGUUAAAUACUGUUGACUUGUCAUAAAAUUGAAUCACACCCAUUUGCACCAGAAUUGACAAAUUUUUACUUUGUUUACUUUUAACAUAUUUGCUGC
rnacentral:lncRNA from 1 species